UCUGCAACCUCCCUUUCUUCUUUUAGCACACCUUUGACCCCCCUUGUUGUUCAAAAUCUACAUGCCUCCUUUGCUGGUCUCCUGCUGCUAAUGUAUUAAAAAAAAUUUUUGUUGGUGGUCCUUGUGCUUUUAGCAACGUGCUCAAUUUCUUUGUUUCUGUAUCUCUUAUUGUCUGUUUGCAUUUCUUCUGCUGAAGUUUGUGUUCCUUUUGGUUCUUAUUUGGACAAGACUUCUAUUUUCUGAAGGAAUCCUUUUCUUACCUCAUCUAAUAGCUUUUUUUGACUUUGGUUGUUAAUCACGUUGGUGUUCUCUUGGCCUUCAUGGUAACUUCCAUGGGCUGCGGUGUGCAUUCUAGCCAUGUUUCUAAUAUCUUGGUUUUAUAACCCUCCCCCCAAUAAUUUUGGAGAGGCUUAACCCUUUUGACUUUGUCUUGAAAGUUCCUUUUUACCAGUCCCCUCAUUUUUUGCAAGUUUCCUCCUUUGAAGUAAAAUGUGACCAUGUUGUAUUUUCUUGGCCAUUGCCUAUUUACAUAUAUGCUGAACUGGAUAGUACUGUGCUCACUGUUCCCAGUGAGUUUAACAACACUUACGUCUUGCACCUGGGCACCACUUAAAAGCAAGUCCAGGGUUGCUGCCUUUCUGGUUCCUUGAGCUGCUGUUUUGAAAGAUUGCCUCCUUCCCUACAGACCUUCAGGUGUUAUUAAGAUCAGCAGAGGGAGUCCUCUUGGUCGUUCCACUGCACUCAGAAGCUUGUGUGUCAUGGCCCAGCUGAAGACAUCAUCUGUGGCUGUCCUAAAGUUUAGGAGUCUCCUCCCUACAAAAGCUUACCAGGAAGCCGAGCUGCGCAUAAGCCAGAGUCAGGAUUGUGAAGGCCAGCCCUGCAGCAAAAAGCUCCUUCGUAGACCUCUGCAAAGUCUUGCCAAAAGUGGACCAUUGGCGGAUGAAGCGCAGCUGUUGGGAAGCCUGUAGGGAAGGAAGAUGAGAACAGAAGCCUGUUUAAAGCACUUGGCACCCCAUGAACUGGCCCCUUUGCAGAUCAGUCUGAAGGGCCAUUUUGGGGGAUGGCGGGGGUGUCUGCUGACACCUGCUCUGUCUCUCUGGGCACCAGAUGAAGACCUUUGUAUUUUCCCAGACUGUUAAAUCUCCAAAGGAAUUCUUUUCUCAAUACUGUUGUUUUUAAAGGUUUCUUCUUUUUAAAAUCACACUCUAAGCUGCUCUGGAAAUGUUUUGCCUUGAAGGCUUGAAAUAAAUAAAUCCAUGCUCCUCUCUGAAAGGGACCACAACUCCUUCUCCUGACAGGACAGCAAAACUCCUA